ensembl:lncRNA
GUCUCACUGAUUCUGAUCCAUCCGUGUCGGUUAAUUCUGCCAGUUGGAUUUUUGUUUACAGGGGGAUGAAGAUGCUGCUGGUGUUGCUGCUCCUCAUCAACAUUUCCCAGCAUGCCCUGGCUGUGGUGGUGGAGGUGAAUGAGGGGGAAAGAUCUGUCCUGCUGCCCUGUCAAUACUCAGGUAUUACACCCGAGGACCCCACAAUGAUGUGGAUGCGCAAUGAUCUUCAUCCCAACUCUGUCCACCUACAGCGAGAAGGAAGAGAUGACCUUAGAGGACAAAACCAGCGUUACAGCAGGCGCACAUCGAUGAGGCGUGAUGCUCUGCACACUUUAGACUUCAGCCUCACUCUGAGAAAACCACAACUGACCGACAGCGGCAACUACACCUGCUCCAUCAGUUUUGGAAGAGAAGAGCUGACACUGACAGUUAUACAGCUACAGGUCAAAGACCAGCAGGUGGAGAUGAAGGUGACUGAAGGCUUAGAGUCUAUCAUCCUGCCCUGCAAAACAAAACCUUACCUGCCUGAGGACAGCACAGUGGAGUGGACUCGCU